CCCAGGAAAGGAUGGGAGCAGAGAAAAGGAACCCCUGAGCUGGUCUCAGAAAGUGCUCAGGGAAAGUCUUCUGAAGGCGGCCACACUUCAACCGAGUUCUGGAGAUGCCAGUUACUCCUGUUAUUUCUGUACGAUGGAAAUACUAUACAGCGUGGGCUACUGUUCAUUUCUUCCCUACUUGCAUCUGCGAUGACAUAUUUAUGGUUUUGAAUCCGUCAUGGUCGUUGUAUUUACACCAUGGAAAUUGGCAAAUACCACAAAUCAGGACCUGUUUUUCUCCAAAGACCUGGUUGUUAGACAUUUAGUGGCACACCACUGUGUAUUGGUGACAUCUUCUGACAAGUUGCACAAGGCGUGCAGACUUUUUCUCUGGACGUGCUUGUGGUUGGAGUAACCACAAAGAACAGAGAGAUGUGUCCAGUCUCUCAUGUUCAGAAGGAGUUAUGGUAGUCUGAAAAUACCCAAGAGAA
rnacentral:lncRNA from 1 species